rnacentral:rRNA from 1 species
UUACCCCGGCUGGAAACUAAGCAUAUCAAUAAGCGGAGGAAAAGAAACCAACAGGGAUUGCCCUAGUAACGGCGAGUGAAGCGGCAACAGCUCAAAUUUGAAAUCUGGCUCUUUCAGAGUCCGAGUUGUAAUUUGCAGAGGGCGCUUUGGCUUUGGCAGCGGUCCAAGUUCCUUGGAACAGGACGUCACAGAGGGUGAGAAUCCCGUACGUGGUCGCUAGCUAUUGCCGUGUAAAGCCCCUUCGACGAGUCGAGUUGUUUGGGAAUGCAGCUCUAAAUGGGAGGUAAAUUUCUUCUAAAGCUAAAUAUUGGCCAGAGACCGAUAGCGCACAAGUAGAGUGAUCGAAAGAUGAAAAGCACUUUGGAAAGAGAGUCAAACAGCACGUGAAAUUGUUGAAAGGGAAGCGCUUGCAGCCAGACUUGCUUGCAGUUGCUCAUCCGGGCUUUUGCCCGGUGCACUCUUCUGCAGGCAGGCCAGCAUCAGUUUGGGCGGUGGGAUAAAGGUCUCUGACACGUUCCUUCCUUCGGGUUGGCCAUAUAGGGGAGACGUCAUACCACCAGCCUGGACUGAGGUCCGCGCAUCUGCUAGGAUGCUGGCGUAAUGGCUGUAAGCGGCCCGUCUUGAAACACGGACCAAGGAGUCUAACAUCUAUGCGAGUGUUUGGGUGUCAAGCCCGAGCGCGUAAUGAAAGUGAACGGAGGUGGGAACCCGCAAGGGCGCACCAUCGACCGAUCCUGAAGUUUACGGAAGGAUUUGAGUAAGAGCAUGGCUGUUGGGACCCGAAAGAUGGUGAACUAUGCUUGAAUAGGGUGAAGCCAGAGGAAACUCUGGUGGAGGCUCGCAGCGGUUCUGACGUGCAAAUCGAUCGUCAAAUUUGGGCAUAGGGGCGAAAGACUAAUCGAACUAUCUAGUAGCUGGGUUCCUGCCGAAUUUCCCCCCUCAGGGAAA